rnacentral:lncRNA from 1 species
AUACCUUAUCACCAAUAUUAAAGUGUGGUUAUUCCUUUUGAUAGGCAUCUACACUGAUACUUUGUUAUUCUUGAGUUUUCUUUAAUUGCACCUUUAUUAUUGCAUGUAGCUCAAGCAAAGAAUUUGCCAAAUAUUUUGCCGUAUGAUUAUCAAUUUUUGAAAAGUCAUAAGUAUCAAGUUAUAGAUAAUAACCAUAAUUAGCAAAAAAAGGUGUUUGUUACAUAAAAUAAUGUAUUGUAUUAUUAUAAACAAAUUUUCUCAAUGGUAAGAAGGUUCUC